rnacentral:rRNA from 1 species
UGGGGAAUAUUGCACAAUGGGGGAAACCCUGAUGCAGCGACGCCGCGUGAGCGAUGAAGUAUUUCGGUAUGUAAAGCUCUAUCAGCAGGGAAGAAAAUGACGGUACCUGACUAAGAAGCACCGGCUAAAUACGUGCCAGCAGCCGCGGUAAUACGUAUGGUGCAAGCGUUAUCCGGAUUUACUGGGUGUAAAGGGAGCGUAGACGGAUGGGCAAGUCUGAUGUGAAAACCCGGGGCUCAACCCCGGGACUGCAUUGGAAACUGUUCAUCUAGAGUGCUGGAGAGGUAAGUGGAAUUCCUAGUGUAGCGGUGAAAUGCGUAGAUAUUAGGAGGAACACCAGUGGCGAAGGCGGCUUACUGGACAGUAACUGACGUUGAGGCUCGAAAGCGUGGGGAGCAAACAGGAUUAGAUACCC